AGGAUAAACGCUGGCGGCGUGCAUGAGACAUGCAAGUCGAACGGACGAUCGAGGCUUGCCUUGAUCGUUAGUGGCGGACGGCUGAGUAACGCGUAGGUGACCUGCCCCGAAGUGGGGAAUAACUGCCCGAAAGGGUGGCUAAUACCGCAUGUGGUGGUGUGUUCAUUCACACCAGUAAAGCCGCAAGGCGCUUCGGGAGGGGCCUGCGUCCGAUUAGCUCGUUGGUGGGGUAACGGCUCACCAAGGCGACGAUCGGUAGGUGGUCUGAGAGGACGAUCACCCAGACUGGGACUGAGACACGGCCCAGACUCCUACGGGAGGCAGCAGUCGGGAAUUUUGCGCAAUGGACGAAAGUCUGACGCAGCAACGCCGCGUGAGGGAUGAAGGCCUUCGGGUUGUAACCUCUUUAUCAGGGAAGAUAAUGACGGUACCUGAUGAAUAAGUCACGGACUAACUACGCGCCAGCAGCCGCGGU
rnacentral:rRNA from 1 species